rnacentral:rRNA from 1 species
UACGAAGGGGGCUAGCGUUGCUCGGAAUCACUGGGCGUAAAGCGCACGUAGGCCGUUUGCUAAGUCAGGGGUGAAAUCCUGGAGCUCAACUCCAGAACUGCCUUUGAUACUGGCGGACUUGAGGACAGGAGAGGAACGCGGAAUUCCAGGUGUAGCGGUGAAAUGCGUAGAUAUCUGGAGGAACACCGGUGGCGAAGGCGGCAUCCUGGACCGACAUUGACGCUGAGGCGCGAAAGCCAGGGGAGCAAACGGG